rnacentral:rRNA from 1 species
GAUGAACGCUAGCGGGAGGCUUAACACAUGCAAGUCGAGGGGCAGCAUAGGGUAGCAAUACUCUGAUGGCGACCGGCAAACGGGUGAGUAACGCGUAUGCAACCUACCUGUACAGGGGGAUAACCCGGAGAAAUUCGGACUAAUAUCCCGUAAUAAUAUCCGGAGGCAUCUUUGGAUAUUUAAAGUUCCGACGGUACGGGAUGGGCAUGCGUAACAUUAACUGGUUGGUAAGGUAACGGCUUACCAAGGCUAUGAUGUUUAGGGGUCCUGAGAGGGUGGUCCCCCACACUGGUACUGAGACACGGACCAGACUCCUACGGGAGGCAGCAGUGAGGAAUAUUGGUCAAUGGGCGCAAGCCUGAACCAGCCAUCCCGCGUGCAGGAAGACGGCCCUAUGGGUUGUAAACUGCUUUUCCAGGGAGAGAAACUUACGCACGUGUUGCGUGACUGACGGUACCCUGGGAAUAAGCAUCGGCUAACUCCGUG